rnacentral:rRNA from 1 species
UACGGAGGGGGCUAGCGUUGUUCGGAAUUACUGGGCGUAAAGCGCACGUAGGCGGCUUUGUAAGUUAGAGGUGAAAGCCCAGGGCUUAACCCUGGAAUUGCCUUUAAGACUGCAUCGCUAGAAUCGUGGAGAGGUGAGUGGAAUUCCGAGUGUAGAGGUGAAAUUCGUAGAUAUUCGGAAGAACACCAGUGGCGAAGGCGGCCCGCUGGACAUGUAUUGACGCUGAGGUGCGAAAGCGUGGGGAGCAAACAGG